CCUGGCUUAAUUCAGAGUCCAGCAGCUACGUCAAUAUUUGAUAUGCUUUCGGAUCUAAGUCCUCAGCAGACUCCAUUUUCUUGCUUGACGAAGUAAACAUGAACCUUUGCUGCCAAGCAGUAGCUGAGAGAGGCGAAACAGAGGCGAUCUUGAUUCCGGCGUCGAUCUGCCCGGUCCCUCCCCGCCGGCGGCCUUUCCGGCACCGGAUCGGGUGAGGGACGGGGCAGAUCGACGGCCAGCGUAGCUGUAGCUGCUAGGUUAGGUUUGUAUCAUAUCUAGUAGGCUAGGGUUAGCUCGUCGUCCUCCAUGCUGACGGAGCUCAGGUUUCCGGUGGUGGAGGUGCUCCUACCCCGGCGAAUAAGGUUCCUCCGGGUCUUCGGCGAUGACGACGGCGACAACUUCGGCGUGGGCUUCGGCGAAGAUCCUAUGAGAUGCUUUUGCCCUCUCUGCUUGGCGUGGUUGACGACGGCGGUUGCAGUGAGGUGCUUUUGCCUUCUCUCCUUUAGAUCCGGCGGCUGGAAAGGUAGCGUUCCCAUCUCCAGUGAUGGAGCUCCUUGGUUAGCGGAGUCGGACGUCUUGGUCUGCUAUGGCUCCGAAGGUGGCCGAUGUUCUAGCACCCGAUUUCUUCGUGUACGAGGGGCUGUGCCUGGUCGUAUGCUUCUUCUGCGGCCGUUCAACAACGCUUGGGUCUUCGGUGCGUCAUGGUGGUAUCGUCUGGAAGGUGGUGAUGAAGAAGACGAUCACAAUCCUGGAGAUGGGGAAGAAGAACAGUAGUUCUAGGGACUCACAUGUAUUUUUCCUUUUCUCUAGGGUCUUGUUUGUUAAUGAGGGAUGUACUGCACUGCUGUUUAAUAUACCUUCUCUUUUCGCAAAAAAAAAUGAUGCCGCACCA